CUCGUAGAAUAUUUUUCUGGAUGAUAGAGACUACUGUCGGUGAAAACCAAUGACUCAAUGAAUGGCUCCUACACGUGUUGUGAUGUGGCCAUCUUUGCUAAGUAUCGACAAACGGUGACGAAUAGUUGAUGCUAUAUCGUAUCUAGCGAAAUACCAAAAAGGGGAGGAGCUACCAAUAGCUAGUUGAGCAGACAUUCUAACGUAUUUGUAGGCGGGAAUUAAAAAGCAUAACCACGCCUUUCACAAUCACAAUGUAUCAGCGUAUUGUAAAUAUGUCGGCUUUUCGGGCAGAAAUCAUUGAACAAACUUUAUUUUGGAGGUUUCGACAUCUAGGCCUGAUGAUGCUCCGAUAGUCUAUUGAAAAGUCUAAUGCCAAAGUAGAAAUUGGUACCGGCGUGCAGUCCUGAGAAAAGAAAAGGGGCUUCGGAUUUAACAUUGUCAGCAAUAAGGCCCUAGGAUUCCAAUAAGUUGAAUUUCUUUGUACAAAACUAUUAAAGAGAAGAUUCAAGAAAAACUCUGUAUUUGCAAUACCAGAGAAAGUGUUACAUUUACCAUAUCUCCAGAAUUGCAACUUUGUGUUUGUAAUCUCGACAAUUUGUGUGCAACAUUUCGUUAAAAAAAUCCUCAGUAUUUGUUGUGGUGAACAAAAUAAAUAUUGGCUGUCAAGAGGCAAAUUUUAU